UGUACAAACUAUACAUAGCCACGAUUGUUCUUACAAGUAAAUAAAAAAAUUAGCCGGAAGACCCCAAGUCAACCCUUCAUUUUGUUACUUAAUUCCCACAACACUCAAAGUCCAUAGCCUUUUCGGCAAUUCUUUAAUUGUCUGAUUAUUGAGCUCCCAAAGUUUGAGAUGGAUUCCUCCUCCCAACAACAACGGAAAUGUGAUGUCUUUGUGAGUUUUAGAGGCGAAGAUACAUAUAAAUAUCUUGUUUCAAAUCUACACACAUCUCUGAAAUCCAAAGGAAUUAACUAUGCGCCGUUGAAAGAAGAUACAUGUAAAGGAAUGGACUGUGCGGAGUUCAAAGAUGAUGACGAAAUCAGUCCCAUAUCACCUGAACACUUGAAAUCCAUUGAAGAAUCAAGAUUUGCCAUUAUCAUAUUCUCGGUGAGCUAUUCCUCAUCCACUAGGUGCUUGGAGGAGCUCACUAAGAUCAUGGAAUGCGUUCGAUAUAAGGGUCAGAUUCCUAUUAUUGUCUUUUAUGGCGUCAACCCUUCAGAUGUGAGGAAUCAAACAAAUAGCUUUGGUCAAUCUUUUGCCAAGCACCUCGAAAAUCUAAAGGGCACUGCUGAUUUUCACAAGGCAAAUAUGUGGAGGGAAGCUCUCACUCAAGCAGCAAGUAUAUCAGGAUGGGAUGUGCGAAAUGAUGCUCUUUUUCCAGCGAAAGUCGAACUAUUCAGCUUGCAAGUUAUUACAGCUGAUGGGUAUGGGAAUGAAUCAGAAUGCAUUGAGCUAGUAGUCGAUCAGAUUUUUAAUAGUAUAGACCAUCCAGUUUCAGCUGCUGAAGAGAAUCAAGUUGGAACGGAAGCCGAACCCCCGUUGGCUGUUGAAUCUGUCCCUGUUUGUUCCCGUGUGCACCCUUGGGUCGAAAGACUAGUAGAAAGUUUUACCCAUUUCGUGGCUCCCCAAAAUGAAGCAAAUCAAAAGUGGAAAUAUGAUGCCUUUUUGAGUUUUAGAGGAGAAGACAUCCGCAAUAAUUUUGUUGCGCAUCUUUAUAAACGUCUGGAAGAUAUGGGAAUCAGUGUAUUCAAAGAUGAUGUGAAACUUGAAAGAGGAAAACACAUUUCGACAGAACUGUUGAAAGCGAUUGAGGAAUCAAGAAUUGCUAUUAUUAUCUUUUCUGAGGACUAUGCUUCAUCCACCUGGUGCUUGGAGGAACUCGCAACGAUAAUGGAGUGUGUUGAUCAGAAGGAACAAACGGCAUAUCCUGUCUUCUAUAACGUUGAGCCAUCUGAUUUACGCAUGAAAGGUGAGAAGAGCAGCUUUGCAAAAGCAUUGGAAAAACAUGUGGAAGAUUUCAAGGCUUAUAAACCUGAGGCAGAUCAUAUGGAUUAUGCUAUGCAGAGGUUAGGCAAGAGGUAUCUUGCUCUCAGAGAAGCAAAAAGAAACCAGACAAUCAGGGAUAAUUUGGAGAAGGUGCAAAGGUGGAAGAAUGCUCUGCAUAGAGCUGCUGGAAUAGCAGGACUGGAUGUUCGUAAAACUGCUAAUGGGAAUGAAGCAAAAUCUAUUGACAAGAUUAUAAAUGAUAACUUCCGAAGUAUGCACCACACCGUUUCAGCAACUGAAAAAUAUCUAGUGGGAAUCGACUCCCGUAUAGGUGAAGUAGAAUCGUUACUGAGGUUUCAUUCAGGUGGUGUCUGUUUUGUUGGAAUAUGGGGGAUUGGAGGCAUCGGGAAGACAACUGUUGCAAGAAAAUAUUUUGACAAGGUUUCUCAUCAAUUUCAACGGUCGUGUUUUAUUGCGAAUGUUAGAGAAGAAUCAAAGAAGCAUGAGCUGAUGUACUUGCAAAAGACACUUCUUUCAAGACUCUUAAAUGAAAAAUCAAUGAAGAUAGCAAGUUAUUUUGAAGGAGCCGACAUGAUAAAAAGAAAGCUUUGCCGCUUAAAGGUUUUAAUUGUUUUUGAUGAUGUUGAUGAUGAAGACCAAUUGGAAUAUUUAGUUGGAAAUCAUGACUGGUUUGGUGAUGGAAGUAGAAUCAUUACGACAACUAGAAACCAAGAUUUACUACGCAGUCAUGACCAGUUAUAUUCUGUUCCGGAAUUGACUAAAGAUGAGGCAGUUGAAGUCUUCAGUUGGCACGCUUUUCAGAAACAGACUCCUGAUAGAGAGUUUUUGAAACUCUCUGUAUCUGUAGUAGAUUAUGCUAAAGGCUUACCUUUAGCUCUUAAGGUCUUGGGUUCUUUUCUCUACAAGCGGGGGAUGACAGAGUGGAGAAGUGCAUUAGAUAAACUUAGAGAUACUGGAUAUGAAAAAAUUGUUAAGCAGCUCAGUUUAAGUCUAGAUGGAUUGAAUCAUGAAGAGAAGAAUAUAUUCCUUGAUAUUGCAUGCUUCUUCAGAGGAAGAAAACGAGAUGAUGUGAUAACAAUGCUAAACAGUUUUGGCUUCCGAUCAGAGAUUGGAAUAGAUGUCCUCGUCCAAAAAUCACUCUUACAUAUUUCUGAAGGGAUGGUUGAGAUGCAUGAUUUGAUAGAACAAAUGGGCCAGCAAGUGGUACGCAGUGUUGACCAGGACAGGCCAUGGAACCACAGUAGACUAUGGCAUGAACCAGAUAUAAAAACUGUUUUUUCUGCAAAUCAGAGGACAGAAUCAAUUGAAGGCAUAAUGGUACCAAUUGGCUCGGACCGUCAUAUAUGCAAGUGGAGCAAAGCUUUCAAAAACAUGCCUUGUCUUAGGUUACUCAUUGUCAAAGGGGAGGAGGUCCGACAUUACGAACCAGUUUCUGACACUAUCAGACAUCUCCCCAGUAGCUUGAAAUGGCUUGAUUGGUCUUACUACAGUUUUGAAUCUUUACCUGCAAGUUUUCAACCACGAAACCUUGUUGGGCUCAACAUGACUUUUAGUUCUCUUGUUGAAAUCUUCAAGGAACCAAAGGCGUUUGACAAGUUGACAAUCCUCAAUUUAAGUUUUUCAGGAAGUUUACUCCGAACACCCAAUUUUUCUGACACUCCAAACCUCCAGAAGAUUAUACUGAAAAGUUGUGUAAGCUUGGUAGAAAUUCAUCCAUCCAUUGGAAAUCUCAGAAAGCUCAACUUUUUGAAUAUGGAAAACUGCAGAAGUCUCAAUUCCUUACCAAGCAGUAUUCAAAUGGAAACUCUUAAAAGCUUCAACCUCUCGGGUUGUGAGAAAUUGGAAAAAUUUCCAGAAAUUCGGGGAAAUAUGGAAUUGCUAUCUGAGCUCCUCUUGGCACAUACCACAAUUUGGGAACUGCCCUCAUCAAUAGGACUACUAAGUGGAAUCAGCUUGCUUGAUUUGCGUUUGUGUGAAAACCUUGUGAGGCUCCCAUCCAGUGUCUCUGAGAUGAGAAAACUGAAAAUUUUGAUUGUUAAAGGCUGCUCAAGACUUUCUAACUUUCCUGAAAAUCUUGGUGAUCUAAACCAGUUGGAGGAGCUCUAUGCAGGCAACACUUCCAUUUGUGAACUACCAGAUUCUAUUGGUAACUUGAGCAAACUCAAGAUCCUAUCAUUAAGAAGAGGGCGGAAGGUAAAGCGUCAAUGUGCUCGCAGUUUGAGAUUACCCUUGGUGUGUCAUGGUUUGAGGGAAUUGAAAAGCUUAGAUCUCAGUGGUUGCAAUUUAUGUGAUAACCAAGCUGCUGCUCUUGCGUUUUUUCCUUCUUUAUUGGAACUGAAUCUGAGCAGAAAUAAGUUUAUUUCCUUACCUAAUAGCUUAUGUAUACUUUCUCGCCUUCAAUAUCUCAACAUAACACACUGUCAGGAACUUAAGGAACUUCCCUUACUUCCUCGGAGUAUAGAGGAAUUAUAUGCAGAAGAUUUUUUGGCAAAAGAAAGUAUUGUAAAGCUACUAAUGUACCCAAGGUUGAAUUUGAUCUCAUUCACUAAUUAUAGUUUUGAUCAACAAUCUCAUGCAGCGGGGAGCAAUGGAAGCUCUAUUUUGGAUGAGAUUUUCAGUUUAUUUUUCUCAAACAAUAUCCAUGAUAUGACCCGCCCCUCUCUUCACCAUGAUGACAGGAUGACUUUUUCCAUCGUCUUUCCUGAACGUGCAAUUCCCACGUGGUUUAAGCACCAAAGUGUUAAUGAAAAGAUCAGGUUCAACCUGCCCAAUAAUUGGUAUAAUGAUAAGUUCAAGGGCUUUGCUAUAUGCUGUGCGACUCUCAUGGGAGCAGGUGUCUGCAGUCCUGAUUCAGGAUUAUCUGAGAAGUAUGACUAUGCUUUCAUCAAAGCCAAAUUGAUAUGCAGUGAUCAUUCAGAAGACCUUAAAAUGCUAGAGAAAGAAUGUAAAGUGGGCACAGCAUCUCGAACGUAUGGCUGGUGUGUUUGUUUUGCCUACAUACCAUUGUAUCUUUCAGGGCACGUGUACGGCGUAGAUGUUGGAAUUUUUAACCAGUAUGGCUUCUUUGAGGCAUCUAUCCACGGUCGCAUAGUGAGACAGUGGGGAGUUCAUUUGAUCUAUGAGGAUGAUAGAGUGUUUUUUAAGAGAAGACUACAGAAGAAGUUGGUUUCAGCUCCCCUAAGCUCAACAGGGGGAUUGAGUGGAUUGCCAACAAAUAGUUUAAGGGAUGGUUGAAGCGAAAGUUGAUGAGUGCAAGUAGUGUUGUGUCUGGACAGAUUUGAGAGCAGGGAAUCACUUCUCCGUUAGUCAUUGGUCUGACUAAUUCGGAUUCGUGCUGGGUAAAGUUACUAAAUGGAUGAAUUGUUUUCUCCUGCAUUCACAAGUCUCCGACCCGAGAUACCUGCAAAGCGCUUCCAUAUUACUGAGGAGGUUUGAAAGAUGAUUAGCACUCCGAGGAAACGGGGAUUCCUCGUGUCGUGUUUAUCCACGAUGGUGAGACUAUUCGGGAAAAGGUUGGAGUGGCUUCGGUGGAGGACAAGAUGCGGGAAGUCCGAUUGAGAUGGUUCGGGCAUGUGAUAAGGAGGGGCACGGAUGCCCCGGUUCGUAGGUGUGAGAAGUUUGCUUUGGAUGGUUUCAGGCGGCGUAGGGGUAGGCCGAAGAAAUACUGGAGAGAGGUGAUCAGGCGGCAGUUACAACUCACUGAGGACAUGACCCUAGAUAGGAAGAUCUGAAGGGCGCGGAUUAAGAUAGAAGUUUUCACUUCGAAAGAGUUGAAGCUGCUCGAUUGCCGGUGCCAUCAACAUAUAGCUCUUCCAACUGCUCUAGAAUGCCAAGGUUGCUAUCCCUUGAAUUUUAGAUCAGAGUUUUCAGUUUUCACCAGCUCACAGAUAUUGGCUGCGGGACGUUAAUGCUAACUGCAUUGCAAGCUAUAUUACUAGAGAUAACUGUCAAAAGUUCAGAUUGUAUGGAGCUAAGAAGAACUAAGAAAGUAGAGAGAAGCGAGCGUACUAUAUAUCCAGAUGCUGAUUGUGAGAUAGUCUCGUGCUUCCUGGACUUCCAACUGAUGGGACUAUAACCAAGAAGUACUAUAUAUCCAGACUAGAUGGGCACCGCCUGUGCUCAAGCACGGACCCAACAUGUUACAUAUUCAGCAAUGAUCAAUUUAUAGAUGUUUUUUAAUCUCGACGGAUAAUAUUAAAGAACAAAAAAAAAUUUAAAUCUUAGCCCCCAACGAUGUGGCUCAUUGAAGAAGGGUUCAAGCUACUCCAAAUAAAAAAGAGUAGGUGCAAAUGAAGAAGCAACAUACCUAGACCACUAAAAGUGCAAGCUCCCGCUAUGACAGGAAAGGGCCUCACCACAAAGAUGUAUUGUAUGCAGCCUUACUUUGCAUUUCUGUCAGAGAUUGUUUCCAAACAUAUUGAAACACCUAUAUACAUGUAAUUGCCAGAGAGAGCCUAAAAUGCUGAACAAAUAACCAAAAUGCUUGAUAAACCAACAUAUUACUCCCUGCCC